rnacentral:rRNA from 1 species
ACGGAAGGCAGCAGUGGGGAAUAUUGGGCAAUGGGCGCAAGCCUGACCCAGCGACGCCGCGUGAGUGAAGAAGUAUUUCGGUAUGUAAAGCUCUUUAAGCAGGGAAGAAAGCGACGGUACCUGCAGAAUAAGCACUGGCUAAAUACGUGCCAGCAGCCGCGGUAAUACGUAUGGUGCAAGCGUUAUCCGGAUUUACUGGGUGUAAAGGGAGCGUAGGUGGUUUGGCAAGCCAGAAGUGAAAACCCGGGGCUCAACUCCGCGGAUUGCUUUUGGAGCUGUUGAACUAGAGUGCAGGAGGGGUAAGUGGAAUUCCCAGUGUAGUGGUGGAAUGCGUAGAUAUUGGGAGGAACACCAGUGGCGAAGGCGGCUUACUGGACUGUAACUGACACUGAGGCUCGAAAGCGUGGGGAGCAAACAGGAUUAGAUACCCUGGUA